AGUAAAGUCAGCUAAACAAGCUUUCGGGUCCAUACCCCGAACAUGACGGUGAAAACCCCUCCUUUACUA
rnacentral:tRNA from 1 species